AACGCUGGCGGCAUGCCUUACACAUGCAAGUCGAACGGCAGCACGGAGAGCUUGAUCUCUGGUGGCGAGUGGCGAACGGGUGAGUAAUAUAUCGGGAACGUAUCCAAUAAUGGGGGAUAACGAGUCGAAAGAUUCGCUAAUACCGCAUACGCCCUACGGGGGAAAGCAGGGGAUCGUAAGACCUUGCGUUAAUGGAGCGGCCGAUAUCUGAUUAGCUUGUUGGUGAGGUAAAGGCUCACCAAGGCGACGAUCAGUAGCUGGUUUGAGAGAACGACCAGCCACACUGGAACUGAGACACGGUCCAGACUCCUACGGGAGGCAGCAGUAAGGAAUAUUGGACAAUGGUCGAAAGACUGAUCCAGCCAUCCCGCGUGCAGGAUGACUGCCCUAUGGGUUGUAAACUGCUUUUAUAUGGGAAGAAUAGCAUAGAUUCAUCUGUGUAUGACGGUACCAUAUGAAUAAGCACCGGCUAACUCCGUG
rnacentral:rRNA from 1 species